rnacentral:misc_RNA from 1 species
GAUGAAGAACGCAGUGAAAUGCGAUAAGUAAUGUGAAUUGCAGAAUUCAGUGAAUCAUCGAAUCUUUGAACGCACAUUGCGCCCGCUAGUAUUCUGGCGGGCAUGCCUGUUCGAGCGUCAUUUCAACCAUCAAGCCCCAGGCUUGUGUUGGGGUCCUGCGGCUUCCGCAGCCCCCUAAAAGCAGUGGCGGGCUCGCUGUCAUACCGAGCGCAGUAGCAUAUCUUCGCUCUGGGCGUGCGGCGGGUUCUUGCCGUAAAACAACCCCCCCUUUUCACCAAGGUUGACCUCGGAUCAGGUAGGAAUACCCGCUGAACUUAAGCAUAUCAAUAAGCGGAGGA